rnacentral:lncRNA from 1 species
GGGAGAUCAUGCUGAAGAAGUAGAAAGAACAUGGGCUGUGUAUCAAUACAGAUCUGCUUUGUUGUGCUCUGGUGACCUUGCAUAGGUCACAUACCUUCUCUAAACCUCAGCAUCCUCUUCUCUUAAAAGAUAGCCAUGCUGGCCUUAUCAGUUCCAUGGGAGCAACACUGGGCACCCAGCAAGUGUGCCCAGACAUACAGCUUGGGACAGUGAUAGAGCAGCAGCAAGAGAUUGUCGAAAGAGCUUGAGCCAGGCAAGGUGGAGUGCACCUGCAGUCCC